GACGAACGCUGGCGGCGUGCUUAAAACAUGCAAGUCGAACGGACUUCUCAUGAAGCUUGCGAUUGAGAAGUUAGUGGCGGGCGGGUGAGUAACGCGUGGGCAACCUGCCCCUGAGCCCGGGAUAACAGUUCGAAAGGACUGCUAAGACCGGAUAUACUUGCGGGGAAGCAUUUCUCUGUAAGGAAAGGGAACGCUCAGGGAUGGGCCCGCGUCCCAUUAGCUAGUUGGUGAGGUAACGGCCCACCAAGGCGACGAUGGGUAGCCGGCCUGAGAGGGUGAACGGCCACACUGGGACUGAGACACGGCCCAGACUCCUACGGGAGGCAGCAGUUGGGAAUCUUCGGCAAUGGGCGCAAGCCUGACCGAGCAACGCCGCGUGAGUGAUGAAGGUUUUCGGAUUGUAAAGCUCUGUCUUCCGGGACGAUAAUGACGGUACCGGAGGAGGAAGCCACGGCUAACUACGUG
rnacentral:rRNA from 1 species